UUUUAAGAGAGUUUGAUCCUGGCUCAGGAUUAACGCUAGCGGUAUGCAUAAUACAUGCAAGUCGAACGGCCAGCAAUGGCAGUGGCAAACGGGUGCGUAAUACAUAUUUAAUCUACCCUUUAGAGAGGAAUAACUGGUCGAAAGAUUAGCUAAUACCUCAUAGGAAACAAGAUCGCAUGAUUUUGUUUUUAAAGUUGCGUUUGCAACACUUUAGGAUGAGAGUGUGUCUUAUCAGAUAGUUGGUGAGGUAAUGGCUCACCAAGUCAAUGACGAGUAGCUAUACUGAGAGGUAGAAUAGCCACAAUGGGACUGAGACACGGCCCAUACUCCUACGGGAGGCAGCAGUAGGGAAUUUUUCACAAUGGGCGAAAGCCUGAUGGAGCAA
rnacentral:rRNA from 1 species